AUUGAACGCUGGCGGCAGGCCUAACACAUGCAAGUCGAGCGGAGCGGCGGACGGGUGAGUAAUGCCUAGGAAUCUGCCUGGUCGUGGGGGAUCACGUCCGGAACCGGGCGCUAAUACUGCCUACUAUACGCUGCGCAUCGGUCGGAUUAGCUAGUUGGUGGGGUAGGGCCUACCAAGGCGACGAUCCGUAACUGGUCUGAGAGGAUGAUCAGUCACACUGGAACUGAGACACGGUCCAGACUCCUACGGGAGGCAGCAGUGGGGAAUAUUGGACAAUGGGCGAAAGCCUGAUCCAGCCAUGCCGCGUGUGUGAAGAAGGUCUUCGGAUUGUAAAGCACUUUAAGUGGGGAGGCGUUACCAACAGAAUAAGCACCGGCUAACUUCGUGCCAGCCGCCGCGGUAAUAC
rnacentral:rRNA from 1 species